rnacentral:lncRNA from 1 species
AGACCUGAUCUAAGGAAAGAGGAAGCAGCUCCAGAGAACCAGCAGCACGGGUGGAAGCAGCAGUGGGAAACCCCAGCUGCUCCGCGGAAAGCCGAGGCUGGCGCUCCGUUCAUCGGAGCAGAAGUGGCAUCACAGAAAGCACAUGAGGUUGGAUAAAACAGAAGGACAAGGUGUGCCUCUUCCCCGUGGCACCGCCACUGCUGCUGUCCCUCUCAUCACCUCCCAUCGAGGACCCCUGAGCUACCUGGGUGAUCAUUUCAUACCUAUGGCCCCAGCCUGGAUUUGGCAUUGCUGUGACAACUGUAGCUGAACUUGAGAAUCACUCUUAGAGCUCGUAUUGUCAAGACAUCUACGGGUGCUGAGUGUGUGGCCAAAUUCUGCUAAGAUGCUGACACACGGCUGACCUUUCAUCACCCUUAUCACUCAACCCUUGUUUUGUGAUGAGGUUCCCUGCUGCCUGAUGAGACUUUGUGCUUAGGCUUUUGUUAAAUGAGGAUGAUGUGCAGGGUUCUGGCCUUGGAUGCCCAGGCGAGACGCAGUCUUGCAAAACAUUUCUUUUUUAUGGUUUUCUGUGACGGAACAUUGCGUUGUUCCACAUCUUAGCUUUGGUUUUGUAAUCACCGAUUAUAUAAUGAAUUCUGGUUCCAUGCCGGCGAAAUCUGUCUGAGCUGUUAAAGACACAGGAGAGAGGGGAACUGCUUUAGAAGACACAGAGAUGGAGAUGCCGUGUUGGUAGGACCCAGGGCCUCCUCCAUCCCUGCUAAUCUGAAAGAUCAGUCUACAAGGGGAUGGCAAGUGCCUCAGCUUAUCGCCUUCACUUUUGCACAGAGUAGCAGAUCCUCCUUCUGAAGUUUGCAAUUUUGUAAAACAUCAGCUACCUCUAGUGGGGCUCACUCUAUCUGCCUCCCUCAUCUUUGAGUGCUUGAAAGUCUAUGUCCUUAACUUCAAGAUGUGGGUUUCCAGAGAACACACACAUGUCCCAGGUACAUUUCAAUUGCAGAUAAACAAGGAAUACCUAUUUUAGCAUAAGUAUGUCCCAUGCAAUACUUGGGACAUACUAAUGCUUAAAAAAAAGCAUUCAUUAUUUGUCUGAAAUUCAAAUGCAACCAGGCAGCCUCUUAUUUUUGCUUGCUAAAUCUGGCAACCCUGCUCAAGAUCAAACUCUUGUCAUUGUCCUUUCCUCUGGGUCUGUCCUUGUGGGACUCCAAUAAUUCAUUCUGCCAAGAAGCCUGAGACAGAAUGAGGCAAAGGAAAAAUCUUAAUCACACUUGGCUUUUUGUUCUUAUCUAGCUCUGAGUGUCACAGACAUGCAUUAAAUUCAUAAAUAAAUUAAAACCUUUCAUUUGGACAGCUGAAGCUUAGUUCAUUUUUAUCCUGAAACUUUAGCAAGAUUGGAUUCCAUUGUAGAGACGGAUGGUGUAAAAAGAAAAGACUGAUCAAGGGACCUGGUCCCUCAUCGCAGGCUGAGUGGCUGUGGCAUGGAGUGACCACGGUAGGGAGUGACCAUGGUAUAACAUUCUCUUUAAUUUCUCUUUGGAAACUUAAAGUGUUUGAUUAAACAACCCCUAAGAUCCCUUCCAGGGCUAAUAAUUCUAUAGUUCUGGUUUCAAAAGUUCUGAAACUUCCAAGAUGUAUUACUGAAAAAUCACAGUAUUUGAUUAAAAAAAUUAAUGCUGUUUUUUUUUAAUUCUUAAUUUCCAUUAUUUUAUUUUUGUUUUUGUCUUUUUUUAGGGCCGCACCCACAGCAUUAAAAAUUUUUUUUU